rnacentral:lncRNA from 1 species
CAGAUCAAGGACUCAGGCCGGUGUUGCUUCCGAUGUCCUGGAAAAGUGUUUUCUGAGCCUCCAGCACAUAAUGUUUUACUCUCUGAAGGAGGCUUAUUCUGAUUAGCUUAACAGAGGGUAUGGAAGAAAGGAAGUCUAUUGAUUCAGCUCCUUGGUCACGAGACAGGAAUUGCAAGGUGGAGGGAAGCUGUAAUUCCAACACCUGUGGAACGUGCUUUGCGUUUUUGUGCUGUUGAUCUGCUUUCCUGAGACAUGAUUGGAAGUCAGCAGCUCCAGCCUGCAUGUUCCCAGAUCACCU